GUAGCUGUUGGCUCCGCUUCGAUGCAGGUCCUGUCACGGUCGCCA
rnacentral:precursor_RNA from 1 species